rnacentral:rRNA from 1 species
CAGUAGCCGCGGUAAUACGGAGGGUGCAAGCGUUAAUUGGAAUUACUGGGCGUAAAGCGCACGCAGGCGGUCUGACAAGUCAGAUGUGAAAUCCCCGGGCUUAACCUGGGAACUGCAUUUGAAACUGUCAGGCUGGAGUCUUGUAGAGGGGGGUGGAAUUCCAGGUGUAGCGGUGAAAUGCGUAGAGAUCUGGAGGAAUACCGGUGGCGAAGGCGGCCCCCUGGACAAAGACUGACGCUCAGGUGCGAAAGCGUGGGGAGCAAACAGGAUUAGAUACCCGGGUAGUCCCUGUCUCUUAUAU